GCCGACGUGGUGGAAUUUGGUAGACACGCUAUCUUGAGGGGGUAGUGGCGAAAGCCGUACGAGUUCGAGUCUCGUCGUCGGCACCA
rnacentral:tRNA from 1 species